GGUCAUUUUUUGCAAAAUACCUUCAGAUGAGCUAAAAACGGCGGGGCAUGCUGAUUAGCUGAUACAGCACAGGUGCCACUGUGCUGCCUGGCCUGUGGGAGGUGCCCAAGAAACACCUGCGGAAAUUAUCUCAACACACCCAGGAGGUGGCAUAUCAGGAGGGGCUGCACUCAGCUGUCAGUAACCCAAAAUAACAGUGGCUUAGGCGAUGCAGACGCUGUUUUUCUUCCGUGCCGAGUGAAUACAGAGUAGCGUGGGGAUGAAGAUGGAUUCGGUUUCUCAGAACGUGUCCAGAUGCCUGCUCUGCAACCCUCGGUCCAUUCCUUCUACGGUCAAAGUGGCCUCGCGGCUGUGGGGAGAUUGCUGUAUCCCUAACCCCCAUGUCCACCUCCCGCAGCAGACAUACAGAGGGUGAAUGCAAACCUUUCAGAGGAGAUGACGCCUUUGGACAAGUCUUAUCUCCCAGCCCCCCGGAAGUUCAGCACACGACAUCACCUAAUGUUCUUUCGCUGCGGCUGCCUGCACGAGAGGCUGGGGAAGCUAGGGUUUGACUGGGCGCAGCCUUGCUCUUCGGCAGGUCAUUUGGUGAGGAUGAAGAGAAGGCUAUCCUAUAUGCCGGAUAGGAAAGUAGUCCCAGUGAAGCAGCCCUUCUCAACCAGUAGGUCACUACCCCUUUGGCAAACCUCUGUGUCCAAAAAUACAUUACAAUUUUAACAGGAGCAAAAUUACAGCUAGGAAAUAGCAAUAUAAUAAUCUUAUGGCUGGGGGUCACCACAACAUGGGGAACUGCACUGAAGGGUCGAGGCGUUCGGAGGCUGGGAACCACUGCAAAAAGAGGCUAUUGUUACCCUGGAUUUAAGGAGGAAAUAAUGAAUUUAAGCAACAUGCCGAGGCAAAGAGCUGGAAAUCAUGCAAGUGGAAAUUCAGAGUCCUGCUGACGGCAGAAGCCAACUCCUGCUUGGUAUAUUUCAGCCUGUGAUGCUGGGGCACCAGAAAUCCAGGCUUCCCAUGUGGAGGGUGGACUCGGGGUGCUGGCAUCAAAGGAUGGGAGAGGAGCUGAAUGAGCUACUGACCAGGGUAUGCUCAUGAUCCUGACUGACCAGAGUCAGCAGCAGAUGUCACGUGGGAUCAUUUUCUUCGAUUUUCAGAUCGUUUUAGAAACAGACACCAACAAUGAAGGUAACCUCCAUGGUCUGGCAUUUCGGACGUGCAUGCCUGCAUUGGGAAGCUGUCUGUCCGGCAGGAGUGUUGGUUCCCGUUAAGUACGUAGUAUGCAGAUUUCAUCACAACUUGCUGUACCCAAGCAUCUUUCACCAGACGAACUGUCGAGUCCCUCUCUGUUUCUGCCAAAACGAAGCACAAAGAGCCCAUUUUUCCGUGGGACUCCAGCUAAGGACUCCUCCAAACCACGAACAUUAGAACAAUUGAGAUUUACAGCUGACUUCAGAUUUCUGAUCAGUUCUGUGCAGCCUCGAGUUGAUUACCAUAAGACCCGGUUAUGUGCAUUAGGGAGCGUCUCCUGUAAGUGAUCUCCUGACUUCCGCGCUUCCCUCCCUUUAAAAACCAAAUGUAAUUCAUAAAAGAGGCCCAGGAUUUGCAAUUAAAAUUGAAGCGUGUUGCCUC